rnacentral:rRNA from 1 species
ACACAUGCAAGUCGAACGGAGAUUACUUCGGUAAUCUUAGUGGCGAACGGGUGAGUAACGCGUGGGCAACCUGCCCUCUAGAUGGGGACAACAUCCCGAAAGGGGUGCUAAUACCGAAUGUGACAGCAAUCUCGCAUGAGGAUGCUGUGAAAGAUGGCCUCUAUUUAUAAGCUAUCGCUAGAGGAUGGGCCUGCGUCUGAUUAGCUAGUUGGUGGGGUAACGGCCUACCAAGGCGAUGAUCAGUAGCCGGUCUGAGAGGAUGAACGGCCACAUUGGGACUGAGACACGGCCCAGACUCCUACGGGAGGCAGCAGUGGGGAAUCUUCCGCAAUGGGCGAAAGCCUGACGGAGCAAUGCCGCGUGAGUGAUGAAGGAAUUCGUUCCGUAAAGCUCUUUUGUUUAUGACGAAUGUGCAGGUUGUGAAUAAUGACUUGUAAUGACGGCAGUAAACGAAUAAGCCACGGCUAACUACGUGCCAGCAGCCGCGGUAAUACGUAGGUGGCGAGCGUUGUCCGGAAUUAUUGGGCGUAAAGAGCAUGUAGGCGGUUUUUUAAGUCUGGAGUGAAAAUGCGGGGCUCAACCCCGUAUGGCUCUGGAUACUGGAAGACUUGAGUGCAGGAGAGGGAAGGGGAAUUCCCAGUGUAGCGGUGAAAUGCGUAGAUAUUGGGAGGAACACCAGUGGCGAAGGCGCCUUUCUGGACUGUGUCUGACGCUGA